CGUGACCUGGAUGCCUGUCCUGGGAGCUCCUGGGGCAGAAACAGGAGAGAAACGACAGGAGCACGCCCUCAACUGAGAGGCAGGAGGGAGUGGCGUGGACUGUGGUGUCCCCUGGUCACCGUCACCUUCUAAGACUGCUGGUCCUCGUGCCGUGGGAACUCUGGAGCCAGAGCGCCUGCCUUCAGAAUCCCAGCAGCACCGCUCAAUAGCGGGGUCACUCGAACUACCCGUGCCUCGGUUUCCCUGCCUGUAAAGUGGGGUGAUAAUAGUGUCUACCUUGUACACUCAGACGGGGGCACAGGGAGCCAAUGGACGAGAGGUGCUGAGUCCAGGCGGUGGGUGCUGUCAGGUCCCUCUCCCUGGCUGAGUUUGCAGGUGCCCUCCGCCGCUCUCUGACCCCGUGGCUUCCAGGGCCCUCUGUGGAGGGGGAGUCACUGCGCCCCGCGGCCCUCCCUCCUGGUGUUCUCACCCUUGCUCGAGCCUCGCCCCUGGAGGGUGGGCCGGGCUUGUGACAUGCCUUCCCCGGGACAGGUGCCAGAUGCACGUGGCCACGCGAACGGCCUCUGGAGAGAGUCACACGGCGAGGACGGAGGGGCUCCCGCCACAGCCAGUGGGGAACGGAGCCACCGAAUGGCGCCAUCCGUCAUGUGAGCCAGGAAACGGGUCCUUCCCCAGGGGUCCCCCUAACGGGCAGCCCCCGUAGACACCUUGGUUUUAGCCCCCAGGAGACCCCGACGAGCCGUGCCCAGAGCCGCCAGCAC
rnacentral:lncRNA from 1 species